UGAUGAUCCGCAGAUUUCGUGUCAGACUGACUCUGUAUGAGUUUCUUGGGAGGACGUUCACCAUCUCCAGAUUCUGAUUGAGGGUAGCGUCUAUGGACAGAAUCGACAGGAAAAAUACGGAGCAGCUUUUGUUUCUGCUUUUGACAGCCGCAAGAUGCCUCCGAACGCUGUGAAUGUGUGUCAGAAAUCAGGAAUGCAUGUCUGUCAUCAGUAGCAGCAGGCCGACUCCUGAACACCUGGCUGAUCGCCUGUGGACGCUCCCAGAGGACACGACCACCAGCUGUAAAGUUCAGUGAGACUGAAGAACAGACGACAGGAUGGACAAAAGCCUGUCCCAGGCCUCCCAUCUGACUCUUCUGAAGCCCGUCCAAAGCCUUUGAAGUGCUUGCAAUAUGUUACUGUGCUUAGGUGAGUUAAAGCAGAGGUGUAGGGGAAAGGCAAAAUUGGGCUUAGAGAUUUUGCAAAACCUUAGUCCCCAAGUAUUAAGACCCGUUCACACCAAUAACGAUAACUUUUGCAUCUACACCAAUGAUAACACUCUGUUUCACCAGUUCACACUUACAAAUCUUCAGAUAACGAGUAUGCAUAUAUGGCGUGUUGUCAGAAAACAGGACUCCGAGCUCGCUAUUUUGACUCAAACCCAGAGUGCUCCCCCCGUAUUCCUGGCUGUGGUAGUAACAAGCUGGAGGGAUGCAGAAAACGUAGGUGAGUUGACUGCUUGUAUAUAUGAAGAGU